AUAAGAGGCACUGCACCUAACAACACAGAAACUUCCCAUAUGUUUUUACAGUCUCAGAGGAUCUGAGUGAUUGGAACAAGCUGGAAGACAGUCGAUAAUCUAAGAGUUACGCGAAAAAGCACAGACAUCACCCUGCCAACAAAAGUGCGUAUAAUCAAAGCUAUGGUUUUCCCAGUUGCAAUGUAUGGCUGUGAAAGUUGGACCAUAAGAAAGGCUGAGCACCAAAGAAUUGGGGCCUUUGAAUGAUGGUGCUGGAGAAGACUCCUGUGAGUCCCUUGGACUGCAAGGCGAUCAAACCGGUCAGUCCUGGAGGAGAUCAACCCUGACUGCUCUUUAGAAGGCCAGAUCCUGAAGAUGAAACUGAAAUACUUUGGUCACCUAAUGAGAAGGAAGGUCUCACUGGAGAAGAGCCUAAUGCUGGGAAAGAUUGAGGGCAAAAGAAGAAGGGGAUGACAGAGAAAGAAGUGGCUGGAUGGAGUCACUGAAGCAGUUGGCAUGAGUUUAAAUGGACUCCAGAGGAUGGUAGAGGACAGGAAGGCCUGGAGGAACACUGUCCAUGGGGUCAUGUUGGGUCAGACACAACUUUGCAACUAACAACAACAACAACAAUGAAGAGUUACGUUGGGAUUGGUGGAGGAAGGGAUGAUUAGGAUGGAAUUGAAAAUGAAUGUAAGAACAGGAAGAAAGGAAGGUGGUAUUCAGAUGGUUCAAUUAUUAUUGAGAAGUAAUAAUUAUUCUGAUAUUUUUUAUCUCUAGAGGGAAGCUAUAGCAUGAUAUCUAUGUGAUACCUUUUAGUAUGUGAUCUGAUCAUAAGGUUGCAGCUUCUCCAGCAAACACAUUGGUUCAAUAUUUUAAAAGAAUAUCAGACGAAAUUUGAAAGUGGAGACUUGAUAACCUAGGCCUAGGCCAUGUACUGAAGCAGGGUUGUAAACCUGAGGCUCAGGUAUCAUAGCUCACCAUAGAAUGCCUUAGAUUAGACCCCUGGAGCCCCUACCAAAGCUAUCAAUGUAUUCUGAUUGCUUGAAGAAAUACAGUUUUAUUUAUUAACCUAUUCUCACAUGCUUCAAAAUAUAUGUAUAUGCAUAUGUGCCACUUUGGGGGCGGGGUCCUUCUGGACCAGGGGUUGGCAACCUUAAACACCCAAAGAGCCACAAAGGUCCUAACCAAAGCCCCCCAUUCAAUUCUGGAGCCAGCCAAAAGUCCAGUUCCCUCACCAUAGAGUCUCUUCCUAGCGCAGCGUCCUUUUUCCUCUGCCGACCAGAAGUCCAGUUUCCCCACCAUAGAGUCUCCGCCUAACAUGGCAUCCUUUUUCCUUUACCUGGCCUUAACUGAAAGCCUUAUUGGCAACUGGGAGCUGCAGCAGGGGGAUGAAAGAGCCACAUGCGGCUCCAGAGCCACAAGUUGCUGACCCCUGUUUUAGACUAAUGAGUCCUGCUUGAUGAACAGGUGGCAUUUGUAGCUAGGAGGGUCUUUGCUCAGCUUUGUCUUGUUCACCUGUUGUACCAAUUCUUGGAUCAGCAGACCCUGCCUACAGUCAAUCAUGCCCUAAUCACCUCCAGAUUGAACUACCGCAAUGCAGUCUAUAUGAAGCUGUCCUUGAAGAGUAUUCAGAAGUUUCAGCUUGUACAGAACACAGCCAUGCAGGGUCUUAUUUGUGCUCCUAGAAGAGUGCAUGUUACAACUCUGUUCCAAAACUUGGACUGGUUGCUAGUUUGCUUUUGUGUCUAAUUCAAGGUGCUAGUUUCAACCUUUAAAGUCUUUUAUGGCAUGGAUGUGAGAGACUAUGUUUCUCCACUUAUAUUAGCCUGCCCCAUCAGAAAGCAUGCUGCAGGUACCAUUGGAUCCACAUUUGGUGGGUCCCAAUAGACAUGCCUUUUUGCUGUGCUGUACCCCUUAUGGAGCAUCCUUUCCCCAAAAUUAGAUUAAGUGUAUCCCUUUUAAUAUUCCACAAGGCCCUCAAGACCAGGAUAUGUGACCAAGCUUGGGAUUCUCAUGGAGCUAGAGACUUAUCUAGAUGGCUUAUUGUUAAAGGGGCCAUCUCUUGUUCUCCCUCCACUUUGAUUGCAUUUUAGACUUUUUAGAAUAUUUAUUAUUAGGGUUUUUUAAAAAAUAUUUCAAGUUGCUGUUUUUAUACCUUUUACCAAUGGUUGUGCGUGCCCCUCGGUGAGAUGGACUGCUAUAUAAAUUUGAUAGAUAAACAAAUAUUUUAAAAAUAAUUCUCUAUUCAGAAAUAUAACUAAAAAAACCCUUUCUCAGGGAAGUCGACAAAAGUAAAUAAAUAAAUAAAUAACGUUUCCAGUAGACCAAAUGGAUAUUUCAGUCUAGUCAAUAAAGCUACAUUGCACCAGUAAGGUUGCAAUGAUGAACAGAAUCAUCUAUUUUAGGAAUAUUCUUUCUCCUCUUCCUCCUUCAGAAGAUUUACAUCAGGUUUUAAAUUUGGUAACAGAUUAUUAUAAAUAUUUUUGCAAAAAUAAGAUAUUCAUAAUAUUUCAUAAUUGCAACGCAUCUACUUCAUCCAGUGCUUGACAAGUGUUUCAGUAAUCAUAUCUUAAAUAAUAAUGAGUCCAACUGCCUGGAAAUUCUGUAGUGAAAUUCUUUGUCCUCAAGCUUGAUGGAGAAUUUUGGUGGACUUUUUGCUCACUGCAUUAAAUCUCACUGCAUUAAUUUCUUGUCCAAGUUUGGGAUAAAAUAAGGAAAUGGUCAGAUAGAAAUUUAAAAACUCCACUUUCAGAUGCACACACACAUACCCAGAAAGCAAAGUCAAUAGAACCUGAAACAUUUUCUUAAUAUGGAUACUAUUUAGUAUAAGAAAUAAGAUGAGUAGGAAAAUCAUCAUAGAUCAGUCCUAUGGGGAAAUGGAUGCUAAGCAUUUCUCCCCAAGUUCUUCCAUAAAAAAACACCAGCAGAUCUUUCCCAUGCCUGCUAUUUUACAGCAAGCUGCUCAUUUUAGUCAAAGGGCUAUGUCACCUCUCUUUUUGUAUUUAUUUACCCGCUAUUUUCGAUAUUGUUCCAAAAUUGUGCAGUAAUCAGCCUGGCGCUAAAUGGGGCCUGAUGGGGAUGUAAUUAAUUAUUCUCAGUGCCUUUUCAAUGAACGUGUUAAAAAGCAGGGAGUCAAAACCUCCCUCUCCCUCCGUAUGUAAUAGUAUACCUCAGCUGGCUUUAUUGGCUCAAAGGGAGGGGGAAGAAAAAGGCACAUUUGCUUCCCUGCUGAUAGCAUGUUAAGCAUGCUCACUUCACAGGCAGCGCAGAUGAAAGUGUAAUUGCAUGGAAGGUGAAUUGAUUGCAAUUAACCUCAGGACUUGGCCCCAGGCUGGGUUCUCUCACCUUCUUCCCAGGAAAGGUGUCAUCAGAGGCGUAAUAGGAAUGCAUCUAUUGCAGCAGAGACCAUGCAUUUUGGGUGAAAGUACAUAAAUCACAAGGGGGAGAAACAUGCUUUUGUAACCAAAUGCUCAAAUUUAGAAACGAAGCAACAUAAAUCAGAAGCUGAUGCUGUUGAAUUAUAUCAAGAAACAUAAAUUAUAUAGUGGGGAUCCAAGGGUCGGCAAAGGGUUCACUGAAUAAUGAAAUGAGCUUCCACAAAAAGGGCUAAAUUUCUGUGAAACCAAAGGUAUUGCAACCCAACCUUCAGAAAGAAAGGUUGAGGCUGGAAAUAAUUCCAUGCAUCCUCUCCAAAUGUACUAAGGAUCCAGUCAGUCUAUGUGGAUUGAGAUAAAGAACUAUUCCCCUUACUAGCUGUGAAGUCCUUUACAGGUGAAGAAGAGGACGUGGACAAGAUGUGCACAUCGUCCCAUGCUGUAGAGUAACUUUUUCGUGAGUGCUUUCUGGAUGUUUAGUUUUCAAGAAUGGUUGCAGGAAUUGGUUAUUUCUAGUCUAAUAAAACAAGAGGGCUAGGGGUGAUAUGAUAGCAGUGUUCCAAUAUCUAAGGAGCUGCCACAAAGAAGAGAGGGUCAUCCUAUACUCCAAAGCACCAGAAGGAGGACAAGAAGCAAUGGAUGGAAACUAAUCAAGGAGAGAACCAACGCAGGACUAAACAGACAUUUCCUGACAGAACAAUUAACCAGUGGAACAACUUGCCUCCAGAACUUGUAGAUGCUCCAACACUGGAAAUUUUUCAGAAGACAACCAUUCUAGAAAGAGUGCAGAGAAGAGCGACAAAGAUGAUUAGGGGACUGGAGACUAAAACAUAUGACAAACAGGUAAAGGUAAAGGUUCCCCUCGCACAUAUGUGAUAGUCGUUCUCGACUCUAGGGGGCGGUGCUCAUCUCCAUUUCAAAGCCGAAGAGCCAGCGCUGUCCGAAGACGUCUCCAUGGUCAUAUGGCCGGCAUGACUCAAUGUCAAAGGCGCAUGGAACACUGUUACCUUCCCACCAAAGGUGGUCCUUAUUUUUCUACUUACAUUUUUUAUGUGCUUUCAAACUGCUAGGUUGGCAGAAGCUGGGACAAGUAACGGGAGCUCACCCCGUUGCGCAGCACUAGGGAUUCAAACCGCUGAACUGUUGACCUUUUGAUUGACAAGCUCAACGUCUUAGCCACUGAGCCACUGCGUCCCGAUAUCCCUUCUCUUAGUACUAGAGAAUUAGAACUCAAAAUCCAGAUUUGAACCAAAAUUUGCAGAAGUAUUUUUGGUCAUUUUAUAAACUACAUUUAACUUCUAUUCUCUAAUCAGUGAAGUAUUGUGAAAAUUGGUAUUGAUGUUUUCUGAUUUUAGCGUGAUUGAACCUGCAUCUAAAAUAUGCACACAUAACUUAUUAACAAAACAUCUUUAAUCUUAAAUAUUUUUAAAUAAAUUAAAUAAUUAAAAAUGCAAACUAAGAAACUGCAGAAAAAAACUCUACCUUAUAUUUUAUAUUUAUCAAGAGUGUUUGGGUUACUAAUGAAUUCACUGCUAUACUAUGAAUAAUACAAAAUAUUAUUGUAAAUAAUAAAUCUUGUAAAUCUUUGGUUUGGGGCAUUGCGAAAAUCUAUAUACACCAAUCCCCAAAGCUUUCAGCAAUCUAAAGUUGACCUAAGUUCUUAGUAUAAUGGGUCAAAGUCAAAUUACAUGCACUAUAAUUUUAUUUCUGCCUGUAUGCCUGUAUGCAUGAAUUAUGUUGAUGUUAAAAUUCAUAUUUUAAAUGCACAUACAUGCUUGGUAAUAUCAUAGGUUUUGCUUGGUGAAUCAGGACGUCUUUAAUUAUAAACAAAGAGGUGGGUGAUCUCUUCUAUUCUUUUAUCCAAGAAGAUGUAUACCAACUUUAGUUUCUUCACUGCGCAGGUUAGAAGAGUGUUUACUUUGCCUUCUGCCUGCCCCUAACACAUUUCUGGGGAAAUGGUCACAAAUAAUAUAUGGUCUAUGUAAGGUCUGCUUAUAAUUCUGGUGACAAUAAUAUUCAAUUUCAUUUAUUUUUCCUUUGCACGAUAAGGCUCUGAAUUACUAGAUCAUGACUUUGAGGUAUCAUCAACAUGCUAGCCUUUUUCUUCCAUGUAUUGAUUUUAGGAUUUUGUUCAAGUCACUGAGCACACAGAAUUAGGCUCAAAUUUAGCUUGAGUUUUAUUUUCCUUUCUUGGAGACAAUCGAUGUGCACUGCACAUGUACAUGGAGAUAAAAAAAUGCAAACAAAGAAAUAUGCAAUCAAAUCAAGAUUUCUUGUAUGCUGUGAAUUAAGAUGCAUAUGUGCCAAUGUGUGCCAGUGCUAUUUGUAAUAGAUAAAAUGAUGCAAAAUUAUAGCAGCAUAUGCAAUGGAUACUGAUUGUAAUUAAGUUUAGAAAUUGUUGAAUACAAAAUACCAAAAACCAAUCCAACAUGAAACCUGCCAUCUUCAUAAAUUCUAGCCUGAAUUAAGCCCAAAUCUUGUAAAUAACCCAGAAGAUAGUUACCACAUGGAUUUUUGUUUUUCCUUUUCCAAAAUUUGCAAUACAAUUGUAUAAUCAUUAUUAUUAUAAAAAUUAAUUCAGAGUUGUAAUUUAAUUUUGAAAUAAAUGUUUUUUAAAAGUAGCCUUUGAAAGAAAAUACAACUAUUUUGCAACUAUAAACUCAUGUAAAGAUGUGGCAAACUGGAAAUGGAUUUACCGCUUUUAUGAAAUGUGAAACAACAGAGCAAUCAGAUAAACACAUUUGCUCAUACUUGCUUCAUUCUUCACUAUGUGCUGAGAAGGUAUCUCCUGUCAAUCUUCAGGCAUUCUCCUUUUUUUCCUACACCUCAAUUUUCCCAUUCCACAACCUUGCCUGUUGUUUUGGGAGGGUGAGUUAGCUAUGAGUGUGUCAUAAUACAUGUGAGAAGGGAUGGCAACUUUUGGAGAGUGCAGAGGGAAAGGCCAUAGCAGUUCCAGUAUCCUACUAGAUGUCACAGCAAAAAGAAGGAAGCAUCUGGCACAAUAACAAAGACAACGCGAUAAUAUAUUUUUAUAUACUACUCUAUCUUUUAAAGAACCCCAAAAGCUCCAUAGUUUUUUGGGGAAAAAACCACCCUACAAUAAAAAUAGUAGACAAUGAUAAAUGACAAAUAUUUAUUUUGAUUAUCCUUUCUCAAACUUAUUAUUCAAUGUUGUGUCCCGGGAACAUGAUUAUCCUACCAAAGUGCAGGGGAAAGUGCCUGGUUUUAAGUUACCUUCAAAAAGUAGACAGCAUGAGACACAGAAUUUUGCCCAUUGUGGCCUUCUUAAGAAGAAUUCAUCAAUAUUCACCAUGGACAAGAGCAUAAUUUAUUGUGCAAUAUGAUAUCAUCAUUGCUCUACUCAGCUCUGGAAAGGACAUCUGGAGUCACAGGUAGGGUGGG